UGCCGCGCGGUGGCGGCGGCGGGGAGAGCAAUGGAGGCCGCGGCCGCCUGAGGGGCGGGUGCGCUGCUGGUGCUGCUGCGGAGGCUGCCGGUGCUGCGGGGCAGCCGCUGGCUGGGUCGCGUCCGCCGCCCGCGCGGGACCGCCGGUCGCCGUCCAAUCGCUCUGCCAGCCACGGAGCCAGGCGGGGACUCAGGCGUUCUUGAGAUGGUUUUCCUGGUCCUGUAACCGUCAUUUCUUGCAGAGCUCUGUAGUGGUGAGAUUGGACCUCCUAACCCUACGGAUACGGUAGGUGGGGUAUGGGUUUUAUUCAUGGUUAUCAGUAAACAGAAAGGCAAACGUUUACAUUUUAUGUUUGUUGUUCUCAGAAAAGAGGCAUCGUAAUAUUGUCUGAAUUCUGGAUUUUCAGAGAGAAUGUGUAUAUAAAGACACAUUGGCUCAGGUGGAGGGGGGUGG
rnacentral:lncRNA from 1 species